AAAUUGAAGAGUUUGAUCAUGGCUCAGAUUGAACGCUGGCGGCAGGCCUAACACAUGCAAGUCGAACGGUAACAGGAAGCAGCUUGCUGCUUCGCUGACGAGUGGCGGACGGGUGAGUAAUGUCUGGGAAACUGCCUGAUGGAGGGGGAUAACUACUGGAAACGGUGGCUAAUACCGCAUAACGUCGCAAGACCAAAGAGGGGGACCUUCGGGCCUCUUGCCAUCAGAUGUGCCCAGAUGGGAUUAGCUAGUUGGUGAGGUAACGGCUCACCAAGGCGACGAUCCCUAGCUGGUCUGAGAGGAUGACCAGCCACACUGGAACUGAGACACGGUCCAGACUCCUACGGGAGGCAGCAGUGGGGAAUAUUGCACAAUGGGCGCAAGCCUGAUGCAGCCAUGCCGCGUGUAUGAAGAAGGCCUUCGGGUUGUAAAGUACUUUCAGCGGGGAGGAAGGUAUUGUGGUUAAUAACC
rnacentral:rRNA from 1 species